rnacentral:rRNA from 1 species
AAGGUAUGCAAGUCGAACGAUCCCUUUCUGAUUUCUAGUAACUUCGGUUGCUAGUUUUCUAUCUGGGAUAGUGGCAAACGGGUGAGUAACACGUAGAUAACUUGCCUCGAAGUCGGGAAUAGCUCGUCGAAAGACGGGGUAAUAUCCGAUGGUCUCUAACCACUUCGUGUGUUUUAGAGUAAAGCUUUUGUGCUUCGAGAGAGGUCUGCGUCCUAUCAGCUAGUUGGUAAGGUAAUGGCUUACCAAGGCUAAGACGGGUAGCUGGUGUGAGAGCACGGUCAGCCACCAUGGAACUGAGACACGGUCCAUACUCCUACGGGAGGCAGCAAUUAGGAAUCUUGCGCAAUGGGGGCAACCCUGACGCAGCGACACAGCGUGGAGGAUGAAGGUCUUCGGAUUGUAAACUCCUUUUAUAUGGGAAGAAUAGAUGACUGUACCAUAUGAAUAAGGACCUGCUAACUACGUGCCAGAAGCAUCGGUGAUGCGUAGGGUCCGAACGUUAUCCGGAUUUAUUGGGUGUAUAGAGAUGCGUAGGCGGUUUGAUAAGUCUUGAGUUAAAGACCUCGGCUCAACCGAGGAAAAGCUUUCGAUACUAUCAGACUUGAGGCAUAGAGGGGUGAACGGAAUUCCGAGUGGAGUGGUGAAAUACGUUGAUAUUCGGAGGAACAUCAGUGGCGAAGGCGGUUCACUGGCUAUUGCCUGACGCUCAGGCUCGAAAGCGUGGGUAGCAAAACGGAUUAGAUACCCGUGUAGUCCACGCUGUAAACUAUGGAUGCUAGGUGUUCGGUACAACUGUUUUUAAUCUUCGGAUUUUAAACGGGAGUGCUGAGUGCCGCAGCUAACGCGUUAAGCAUCCCACCUGGGAAGUACGGCCGCAAGGCU